rnacentral:lncRNA from 1 species
UUGCAUUAAAAUAUUAAAAUGUGUUUACAAAAGGAUGAGAGAGCAUACAAAUUAAAGCUAGAUCUAGACUAGAAAAAGGAGGCUACUAAAAAGAGAAAAUCCUAGGUUAAAAAGAUGAUUACAAGUAAAGGGGGUGGGGGUAUUUAUAGCUAGAAAUGUAGGGUUUAGGGGUAGGGUGGCUAAAUCUAAUCCAUCCAUGUGUGAUAUGUGUUGGGUAGAU